rnacentral:rRNA from 1 species
UACAACUUUCAGCAACGGAUCUCUUGGCUCUCGCAUCGAUGAAGAACGCAGCGAAAUGCGAUAAGUAAUGUGAAUUGCAGAAUUCAGUGAAUCAUCGAAUCUUUGAACGCACCUUGCGCCCUUUGGUAUUCCGAAGGGCAUGCCUGUUUGAGUGUCAU